AAUAGAUACCCCGGUAGUCCACGCCGUAAACGAUGAGUGCUAAGUGUUAGGGGGUUUCCGCCCCUUAGUGCUGCAGCUAACGCAUUAAGCACUCCGCCUGGGGAGUACGGUCGCAAGACUGAAACUCAAAGGAAUUGACGGGGGGCCCGCACAAGCGGUGGAGCAUGUGGUUUAAUUCGAAGCAACGCGAAGAACCUUACCAGGUCUUGACAUCCCAUUGACCGCUAUGGAGACAUAGCUUUCCCUUCGGGGACAGUGGUGACAGGUGGUGCAUGGUUGUCGUCAGCUCGUGUCGUGAGAUGUUGGGUUAAGUCCCGCAACGAGCGCAACCCUUGUUCUUAGUUGCCAUCAUUUAGUUGGGCACUCUAAGGAGACUGCCGGUGACAAACCGGAGGAAGGUGGGGAUGACGUCGAAUCAUCAUGCCCCUUAUGACCUGGGCUACGCACGUGCUACAAUGGACGGUACAAACGGUUGCCAACCCGCGAGGGGGAGCUAAUCCGAUAAAACCGUUCUCAGUUCGGAUUGUAGGCUGCAACUCGCCUAC
rnacentral:rRNA from 1 species